rnacentral:lncRNA from 1 species
AUUUCUAGGAAAAAAAAAGUAAACCUGGUGGUUCACUAGAAAACUUGAGGAAUUCCAAAAAUAUUUAGCUAAGUCAUAAGAUUAAAAAUUCUGUUAUUUGACCAGAUAGAGCAAAUCAGUCACUUGGUGUUAACUCUAAAAGAUAACAGCUUCCUGACUAUUAACAAAGUAUCAUGUAAGGAUGCAGAUGAAAGGGGGUUAUUUCUAGUGCAAUCCAUCAAAAUAAUCUUCGGACAUCAACGGAAUCUUAUCGAUGAUGUUUUUUAGCAGUGGAACUGUUACAGGUAGUAAGACACCACAAAAAAGAAACCGAAAAGUGCAAAAACAACUUCCUUGAAAAGCAGCAAGUUUGGAGACUAAAGAUGAGCUUCUAUUUUGAAAGGUUCUUGGUAAUCUAAUUAGAGUAUCCCCAAAGGCUGCAAUAGGAAUGUCUGGGACAAUCUAUUCUUCGAUAUUGACUGCAUCAACACCUCU